rnacentral:rRNA from 1 species
UACGGGGGGGGGUAAGCGUUGUUCGGAAUUACUGGGCGUAAAGGGCUCGUAGGCGGCCAACUAAGUCGGACGUGAAAUCCCCUCAGCUUAACUGGGGAACUGCGUCCGAUACUGGAUGGCUUGGAUUUGGGAGAGGGAUGCGGAAUUCCAGGUGUAGCGGUGAAAUGCGCAGAUAUCAGGAGGAACACCAAUGGCGAAGGCAGCUCGCUGGAACGGUACUGACGCUGAGGCGCGAAAGCGUGGGGAGCAAACAGG